UAAGGAAUAUUGGACAAUGGACGGAAGUCUGAUCCAGCCAUGCCGCGUGAAGGAAGAAGGCGCUCAGCGUUGUAAACUUCUUUUGGACGGGGACAAACCUGUGGAUUUAUCCGCAGCUGAGGGUACCGUCAGAAUAAGCACCGGCUAACUCCGUGCCAGCAGCCGCGGUAAUACGGAGGGUGCAAGCGUUAUCCGGAAUCACUGGGUUUAAAGGGUGCGUAGGCGGUCUGGUAAGUCAGUCGUGAAAUCGCCGGGCUUAACCCGUGCAACUGCGAUUGAUACUGCCGGACUUGAAUGAGGUUGAGGUAGGCGGAAUGUGGCAUGUAGCGGUGAAAUGCUUAGAUAUGCCAUAGAACACCGAUUGCGAAGGCAGCUUGCUGGACCUUCAUUGACGCUGAGGCACGAAAGCGUGGGGAGCAAACAGG
rnacentral:rRNA from 1 species